GAAGUUUCAAGCCUUCAUUGUGAAGCUUUAAAAUCAUAAUAAACUGUAAUUAUUUUUAUAUUUACAUUUACACUUGAUUUUCUAUUCUCCAGAAAUAUGCAUUGUGUUUGUAAUAAGCUAAUACAAAAUGACUGGGAUUUAACAUACUUGUUUUUCAUUAAUUUAAACAGUUCCCUCUCUAGUGGUUCCUCUAGUCUGCAGUAUCAGUUUAAUGACUUCUUUCUUACUUCUGCAACACUUCUUCAAGUAUAUAGAAAACCUGAUGCAUAUUCAAAUGUUUAAAACUUUUUCUUUAUAUAGGUGUACGACACCUUGAAAUUAUGUGCUGCUUUGGCUGUAUGUCUGUUCUUGCCAACUACUUUGCCUUUAUGACCUUCUUUCCAGCCUGAGUCUCCUUGGUAUUAGAGAAUGUCUUGUAUGGAUAUUGAACAAGUAAUUUCUCUUGGAUUACCCCUUCUCUUUGAUGUGAAAUAUAUUUUCUUUGAGAAAGCAGAAACUGAAUCCACACUCUUGUUGAAGAAUCUCAACAUGUCCAGUGAUGGUCCAGUGUGGUAGUUUGGCAUUUAGGAAAAAAAAACGGGAAACACCCACGGAAGUGACUCCUUUGAGAGAGGCUGCUGGGAGUUUCUUCUCUGCUUGAGACCUCGCCAAUAGCUAGCCAGUUCUCAGAACUGAAAGCAUUUUGGACCACUGAAAAGUAAGAUCACCUUUGUGAAUACCACCUUUUAAACCUGAGCCCGGGAACCGCUUGUUUCUUUGUUUCUGGCCUUGAAAGUUUUAAGCCUGUUUUGCCCUUCUAAUCCAUAUCUCACAGCAAGAGAUGAGUCGGUACUCUGGUGAUUUUUAGCUAGUGCUAAAACCAUUACAUCCGGAAAAACAUCCCUGAGAACUGUUGCAGGAAGAAGUCUGGACUUUGGGAAAACAUUCAGAAAUCUAACACAGUAGAAGAAGCUUUAGUUCCCAAAGAUGGAAAUGGUAAUUUUUGGCAUUUUAGUCUGAACAUAUUCCUGAAUAUAUGGAACAAAUGGUAAAAUCUGUAUUAGCAUGUUGUAUUUGCAAUCAAAAUUUAAGAUUUUUGUAAACCAAAGUGAAUUUGAAUUGUCUUUAUGCAGCUGAUGACAUAAAACCUGAAUUAGCAGAGUCAUCAACCAAGGCUACAUUUGUAACUGGAAGUUGCAACCCUGUGGAGACUUCUUUAUUUCUUAAUAGAAACGAAGAAAUAGUUGAGUUGCCUCAAGAAUCAUGUUCUAUUGUGGAAUGUGUUUGUAUACUCGGAAAUGCAGAGGCAUGUAACUUUUUGUUUAACCUCUACUGCAACAUCUGAUUGAAAAAUUAUUGCAGUUAAUUUUCCAGCUUUUAAAUGAUCCUAUUGACUAUAAUGUCAUUCUUCAGAGAAUUAUAUGGCUUUAAUAACUUGUGUUGGAGUCUGGAAUACAGUGUGUGUGCCCUCGUUUCUGAUACUUCGUUAUAAGAUUCAGAAAAACACUGAAUUUCAUAUAAUAUGAAAUUCAUGAGCAUGUUUUCAUGGUGAUACAUGAAAAAAAAUGUUAAAGUUAGAUGAAAAAAGCUAAGUGUGUGUAGAUUAGAAAGUUUUUUUAAAUCACUGGGUGAAAAAGUUGGUUUAGAGAACAGGAGACAAGAUGGAGGAUUUAGGGUGUUGUCUCUUGUCCCUUCUUAUUUCUUCUUCAUGUUCUUCUCCUAGAGGUUUUUGGGUAGUAGUAAGUGAUUGGGCAGAGAAUGCCACAGUGCAGCACACAGGUGAUGGGUCAUUGGGUCAUUAAGAAAAAUAGUAUACGUGUCUAUUUUUAAUUGGGUAAAAAUAGGUAUAAAGAUAAAAGAACUGCGUAUUUCGGGGCCAUUUUGUGCAUCAGACACGAAGUGUGCCACAAGGCCUUGUUUGUACCAUCAGAAGAAAGAAAUGUACCAGAUUGCAAAGAUUAACCUUGUGUAGCCAGCCUGGAGAGACCUGUUAAGUUUUGUGAUGACCUUUUAAUAAACACAAGAAACAAGAUUCUAACGAGCUCGAGAGUUUUCUUUGAAUCAUAAGAACUGAGAUAAGCAGGGCUCCCCACGAGGGAGGAUCCCAAAAGAAUUCAGUCCAAAGGAGGCUGAGAAUCCAAGAAUAAAAAGAAAAAUACAGAAGAGAUGCAGCAGAAACAGAGACACAGAAAAAGGAUUUUUUAGAGAAAAGUUACAACUCGGGGGACACACAAAAAAUUGCUCUUUCAUAAGUUGCUGCCUUGAUUUAAAAGAUAGAUGUCUGCCAAGGAAGGCAGGAACCAUUAUGAAAUGGAAAAUAUGACCCCUUCACUCCAAAUUAUUAUAACUUUGAAAUUACAGGGGUCUCAGGCAAAGAUAUGGGAAAUAGAACAGUUCUUUACUACAAUGUAUGUCGUGUUGCACUAUGUUAGGAUGAGUGGUUUUACCUAGUUGCUCCCCCCUUUGGUCUGUGGUGUGUUGGUUUCUUCCCCCUCGCCGCUCCCCUUCGGUUUCACCCCAUUGGUUGUAACCUGCCUUCCCCUCCCCUUUUUCCCUCAGUUUAAAAAUCUUCGUGAUUGCUGCCUCUCUCUCUCUUUUUCCCUGGAGUUUGUUCUGGAAUAAGCUGAGGGACAGUGUCCCAUGAAGAGAGACCCUCCUUGUCUUUUACCAUUUUCCUUGCCAAAUCCCCCUCCCACCCCCAGGUGGAUUGGAGCUAGUCGGAAGAUUUUCUGGGGCUGGGAGCUAAGGGAUUUUGGCAGUCUGGCAAGUGUGAGCUUGUCUUAAGGACAGAGAUCCCACGCAGCAACUGGAAAUCCGCAUGUGGAUUCUACAAGCUUUGGACUGUCAACUGCCUUGGGGCUACGAGUUGCUUUUUGCACAGCGAAACCUACAAGGGUGGGACCGACAGGUCCCUCAGGCUGGGGAG